AGACCCGAAACCCGGUGAUCUAGCCAUGGGCAGGUUGAAGGUUGGGUAACACUAACUGGAGGACCGAACCGACUAAUGUUGAAAAAUUAGCGGAUGACCUGUGGCUGGGGGUGAAAGGCCAAUCAAACCGGGAGAUAGCUGGUUCUCCCCGAAAGCUAUUUAGGUAGCGCCUCGUGAAUUCAUCUCCGGGGGUAGAGCACUGUUUCGGCUAGGGGGCCAUCCCGGCUUACCAACCCGAUGCAAACUGCGAAUACCGGAGAAUGUUAUCACGGGAGACACACGGCGGGUGCUAACGUCCGUCGUGAAGAGGGAAACAACCCAGACCGCCAGCUAAGGUCCCAAAGUCAUGGUUAAGUGGGAAACGAUGUGGGAAGGCCCAGACAGCCAGGAUGUUGGCUUAGAAGCAGCCAUCAUUUAAAGAAAGCGUAAUAGCUCACUGGUCGAGUCGGCCUGCGCGGAAGAUGUAACGGGGCUAAACCAUGCACCGAAGCUGCGGCAGCGAACGUAUCACCCAAGACAACUUUACGGAGUUGACGAUUGACGGAGCGAAGCGACGUCAAAGCGUUCAUUAAAGUCGAGUUGGCUUAGGGAUACGUUCGUUGGGUAGGGGAGCGUUCUGUAAGCCUGUGAAGGUGUGUCGUGAGGCAUGCUGGAGGUAUCAGAAGUGCGAAUGCUGACAUAAGUAACGAUAAAGCGGGUGAAAAGCCCGCUCGCCGGAAGACCAAGGGUUCCUGUCCAACGUUAAUCGGGGCAGGGUGAGUCGACCCCUAAGGCGAGGCCGAAAGGCGUAGUCGAUGGGAAACGGGUUAAUAUUCCCGUACUUGGUGUUACUGCGAAGGGGGGACGGAGAAGGCUAUGUUGGCCGGGCGACGGUUGUCCCGAUUUAAGCGUGUAGGUGUGUGUUCCAGGUAAAUCCGGUUCACUUUAACACUGAGGCGUGACGACGAGGCACUACGGUGCUGAAGCAACAAAUGCCCUGCUUCCAGGAAAAGCCUCUAAGCAUCAGGUAACACGAAAUCGUACCCCAAACCGACACAGGUGGUCAGGUAGAGAAUACCAAGGCGCUUGAGAGAACUCGGGUGAAGGAACUAGGCAAAAUGGUGCCGUAACUUCGGGAGAAGGCACGCUGACACGUAGGUGAAGUGAUUUACUCAUGGAGCUGAAGUCAGUCGAAGAUACCAGCUGGCUGCAACUGUUUAUUAAAAACACAGCACUGUGCAAACACGAAAGUGGACGUAUACGGUGUGACGCCUGCCCGGUGCCGGAAGGUUAAUUGAUGGGGUCAGCG
rnacentral:rRNA from 1 species